ACGCGGGAAAUCUUACCGGGUCCGGACACACUGAGGAUUGACAGGCAAUAUAUGUGACUCUUCGGAGUUUGCAUUGUUAAAUAUGCUAGUCCUUUCAUGAUUAUGUGAUAGGUGGUGCAUGGCCGUUCUUAGUUCGUGGAGUGAUCUGUCUGCUUAAUUGCGUUUCAAAUUACUUAUAAGGUAGCAAUACGCGAUGAAACUUUCAAUAGUCCUCCGGAUUCACUUGAGUCUCUCGCUUC
rnacentral:rRNA from 1 species